GUUCAAAUGAUGUCACAAUUUUAACUUUCGUUCUUCUGAGAGUAAUGAAGCCAUUUCAGUCACUGAUGAAU
rfam:Branchiostoma floridae genomic scaffold BRAFLscaffold_195, whole genome shotgun sequence.